GAAGGGACCUAGCGUAGUUCGGAAUUACUGGGCUUAAAGAGUUCGUAGGUGGUUGAAAAAGUUGGUGGUGAAAUCCCAGAGCUUAACUCUGGAACUGCCAUCAAAACUUUUCAGCUAGAGUAUGAUAGAGGAAAGCAGAAUUUCUAGUGUAGAGGUGAAAUUCGUAGAUAUUAGAAAGAAUACCAAUUGCGAAGGCAGCUUUCUGGAUCAUUACUGACACUGAGGAACGAAAGCAUGGGUAGCGAAGAGGAUUAGAUACCCCUCGUAGUCCAUGCCGUAAACGAUGUGUGUUAGACGUUGGAAAUUUAUUUUCAGUGUCGCAGGGAACCGAUAAACACACCGCCUGGGAGUACGACCGCAAGGUUAAAACUCAAAUGAAUUGACGGGGACCCGCACAAGUAGUGGAGCAUGUGGUUAAUUCGAGAUACGCGCAGACCCUUACCCACACUUGACAUGUUCGUCGCGACUCUAAGAGAUUAGAGUUUCGGUUCGGCCGACG
rnacentral:rRNA from 1 species